ACGGAAGCCCGACGAGGCCAAGAUCGACCCGGAAGAGAAGGACCGAUCUCCCGAAGGCGGGCGACCCAGCACGGUACCGGGCACCCACGCGGAGCCGAAGCCGCGAUAGAGGCAGAAGUGUUGCGGGCCUGCGUAAUUGGCGAAAAGCGAGCGGAGAUGUCAACCCUUUGGGUGGGGUGACAUCCGAAGCGCAUCCCAAACACGCCGAGGCCAACCCACGCAGCCCAACGUCGCACGCUUGGUAACCGGCUACCGUGCUAGCGGGCGGCGAUCCGAGUCAUUCGGGGCGCCGCCCGCUUCGCAUG
rnacentral:ncRNA from 1 species